rnacentral:lncRNA from 1 species
GCCGCCACUUGCUUUUUAUUCCUUUAUUUUGUGCAACAACAUGGGGAUUUCUUAUGGUGGAAAAUUAGAUGCGAUUUGGUUUUAUCAUGAAAAAUUAUGAAAAGAGGCAUCCCAUUCUUGUUUUGGCAUGGAUUAGUGAAGGGAGGCAACAUCUCUUGGAAGAGUCCAAGAUCUCUAGGACUCUUCAUCCCAAUCUUGUUACACGCCAAUAAAAGGACCUUUUAAUUAUUUCU